GGAAAGUGUAGAGGAGGGUCUCGCCUCACCCUGGACCCGUGUCAUCCUGGACCUGAAGGACUGCUAAGCAGCCACCAUCGUCCUGCCCUCCAGAAUAAGGGACCUUCCCUUCAGACCCAGCCCACCCCAGCUCCAGAUUUGGCCCACAGUGGUGAAGGAGGGGCAAAGAAGGCCCCAACUCUGGCUUUCGGAAGUGGAACCCAGCUGGCAAGACUAUGAACCUGAGUCUCUAGCUUCAGUCCAGACACUCAAGAUAAGCAGGUGGGAGCAGGGCCAACAUCACCACCAGGCACAGAGAGCAUAGAACCUGGAUCCCUGGUGCUUUUAGA